GGGAGGGAGCACAGUACAGACAAACCAUAGGCCUCAAUGGACAUAUGGGGUUCCCCCUUGGGGACUCCAUAGCUUCCUGGAUGUGUGUUCUUUUGGCCAGUUAUUCUCUCUGAGCCUGAUUCUUCACCUGUGUUACUAGACUCUAAGACGUGUUACCUUUGUAUCCAGGACCUGGCACUGGAAGGCACUCAGGGAAUGUGCAGAGUCAAACCCAGCCCCAGUGGAAGGGAUGCAUGGAGAACAGAUGCUCCUGCAAACUGGCACCACUGCUACACUCCCAGGGUUGCCACCAUCUCUGACCCUUUGUCCCAGCGUCCUGUUGAGGUGGGAGAAGACCAGGAUCCACGAAGAGGCUCCUUUACCUUCUGGGUUAAGGCUGUCCAGUCCCUCCUGUUUUCCUUAACAAUUAAUCUCCUGCUUUCCUGCUGAGAACACUACUGGGGACUCCUGGAAGUAGACGGGAGACCCCAAUGGCUCUGGAAGAAAUACAAAUGGCCAAUAAAGUAUAA